AAUGAAAUUCCUACAUCGUUAAUUCACUAGAUCCCAUUAGAACUCCACCGUUAAGCAUGUUUUGGCUAGAAUAGUAUUAGGAUGGGUGACCUCCCAGGAAUUCCUAGUGUUUUACAUGC
rnacentral:rRNA from 1 species